UACGUAGGGUGCAAGCGUUGUCCGGAAUUAUUGGGCGUAAAGAGCUCGUAGGCGGUUUGUCGCGUCUGCUGUGAAAACUCGGGGCUUAACCCCGGGCCUGCAGUGGGUACGGGCAGACUAGAGUGCGGUAGGGGAGACUGGAAUUCCUGGUGUAGCGGUGGAAUGCGCAGAUAUCAGGAGGAACACCGGUGGCGAAGGCGGGUCUCUGGGCAGUAACUGACGCUGAGGAGCGAAAGCGUGGGGGAGCGAACAGG
rnacentral:rRNA from 1 species